GACGAACGCUGGCGGCGUGCUUAACACAUGCAAGUCGAACGAUGAACCCGGAGCUUGCUCCGGUGGAUUAGUGGCGAACGGGUGAGUAACACGUGAGUAACCUGCCCUUGACUCUGGGAUAACUGCGGGAAACUGUAGCUAAUACCGGAUACGACCCUCGGCGGCAUCGCCAGUGGGUGGAAAGAAUUUCGGUCAAGGAUGGACUCGCGGCCUAUCAGCUAGUGGGUGAGGUAACGGCUCACCAAGGCGACGACGGGUAGUCGGCCUGAGAGGGUGACAGGCCACACUGGGACUGAGACACGGCCCAGACUCCUACGGGAGGCAGCAGUGGGGAAUAUUGCGCAAUGGGCGAAAGCCUGACGCAGCAACGCCGCGUGCGGGAUGACGGCCUUCGGGUUGUAAACCGCUUUCAGCAGGGAAGAAGCCGCAAGGUGACGGUACCUGCAGAAGAAGCACCGGCUAACUACGUGCCAGCAGCCGCAGUAA
rnacentral:rRNA from 1 species